rnacentral:rRNA from 1 species
AAAUGUGGCCACACCUCCUCGCCAAAGCCUGAUCUCGUCCGUUCUCAGAAGCUAAGCAGGGCCGGGCGUGGGUAGCACCUGGAUGGGAGACCGAUGGGAAUCCGAGGUGCCACAGUGG